rnacentral:rRNA from 1 species
UCUUUCUUUGCUGGCGGCCGGCGCACGGGUGAGUAACACGUAUCCAACCUGCCCUUUACUCGGGGAUAGCCUUUCGAAAGAAAGAUUAAUACCCGAUAGUAUAAUGAUUCCGCAUGGUUUCAUUAUUAAAGGAUUCCGGUAAAGGAUGGGGAUGCGUUCCAUUAGGUUGUUGGUGAGGUAACGGCUCACCAAGCCUUCGAUGGAUAGGGGUUCUGAGAGGAAGGUCCCCCACAUUGGAACUGAGACACGGUCCAA